GUGGGGAAUCUUCCGCAAUGGACGAAAGUCUGACGGAGCAACGCCGCGUGAGUGAUGAAGGUCUUCGGAUUGUAAAGCUCUGUUAAUCGGGACGAAAGAGCCUAGUGUGAAUAAUGCUAGGAAGUGACGGUACCGGAAUAGAAAGCCACGGCUAACUACGUGCCAGCAGCCGCGGUAAUACGUAGGUGGCAAGCGUUGUCCGGAAUUAUUGGGCGUAAAGCGCGCGCAGGUGGAUCUGCCAGUCUGUCUUAAAAGUUCGGGGCUUAACCCCGUGAUGGGAUGGAAACUACAGAUCUAGAGUAUCGGAGAGGAAAGUGGAAUUCCUAGUGUAGCGGUGAAAUGCGUAGAUAUUAGGAAGAACACCAGUGGCGAAGGCGACUUUCUGGACGAAAACUGACGCUGAGGCGCGAAAGCCAGGGGAGCGAACGGGAUUAGAAACCUUUGUAGUCC
rnacentral:rRNA from 1 species